GACGAACGCUGGCGGCGUGCUUAACACAUGCAAGUCGAACGGAAAGGCCCUGCUUUUGUGGGUUGCUCGAGUGGCGAACGGGUGAGUAACACGUGAGUAACCUGCCCUUGACUUUGGGAUAACUUCAGGAAACUGGGGCUAAUACCGGAUAGGAGCUCCUGCUGCAUGGUGGGGGUUGGAAAGUUUCGGCGGUUGGGGAUGGACUCGCGGCUUAUCAGCUUGUUGGUGGGGUAGUGGCUUACCAAGGCUUUGACGGGUAGCCGGCCUGAGAGGGUUACCGGCCACAUGGGGACUGAGAUAGGGCCCAGACUCCUACGGGAGGCAGAAGUGGGGAAUAUUGAAGAAUGGGCGGAAGCCUGAUGCAGCAACGCCGCGUGCGGGAUGACGGCCUUCGGGUUGUAAACCGAUGUCGCAUGUGACGAAGCGUGAGUGACGGUAAUGGGUAAAGAAGCACCGGCUAACUACGUG
rnacentral:rRNA from 1 species